AAAAUAACUGUUAUUUCCUUUUUCAGCUGCUCUAAACGUUCACAUAAGAAAACUGUUGUUUUCUUGCUGUCUUACAAGAAGAUCUCAGCCUGAAUGGUUUUCAACCAGGACUUAAUUACAAAUAGCAAGAAAAAAAUCCAUGGGAGGAGAGAGCUUAUUUGGAGACUUCGCAUGAUCUACCAGGCAGAUUUUCUGAUGCGUCGUCUUUCUCAUCAGAAAGAACUUUGUAGGUGCCAAGGAGCUUUUCUUGCAGCCUUCUUACUGCUUAAAUGGCUUACUGUCCAUAAAAAACAAACAAACAAAAACAAACAAACAAAAACAAAACAAACAACAAAAAAAAACAACCUGCUGGUAGGUCUGUGGAAGAACAAGUUGUUCAUUCUUUUGUUGAUCCUGACUUCUUUCAUCAAUGAAGAAACUUCACAGAAUGGCUCACAGAGAAAUUCUGCUGCUGUUGGGAUCUUUCUGACCAUCUCCCACUUGAGAAUCUUGGUGCGUGUAGAAAUAGCUGAGAAAUCAAAGAGUGAACUUGGUAAUAUCUGAGUUGACUUUGCAUAAUAUAUCUGUAAAAACGUAUUGUAGCUGUUACUAUGGCGCAAAAUAAAACAGUGCACAUAAGAGGUUUUCACCUUAGAGCAAA